GGCCCGGAGGCGGGGCGGGCUCCGGGCGGCGCCUCCCGCGGCGGGGCCGGGGCUGGUCUUUCCGUCGGUGGCCGCCGCCGCAGCAUGAGCGGUCCGGGGCUGCUGGGGCCCGGGGGCGGCGCGGGGCUGCCGCCGCUGCCCAAGAGCCUGAGCGGGCUGCUCAACUCCUCGUCCUCGGGCGGCGGCGGCGGCCAGGGCGGGCGCUGGCGGGACCUGGAGCGGCUCUACGCGCAGAAGUCCCGCAUCCAGGACGAGCUGAGCGGCGGCGGCCGGGGCUCGCCGCGCCCGCCCAAGCCUCCCAACCUGGACGCGGCGCUGGCCCUGCUCCGCAAGGAGAUGGUUGGCCUUCGGCAGCUGGAUAUGUCACUGCUGUGUCAGCUGUACUCUCUGUAUGAAUCAAUUCAAGAAUACAAAGGUGCCUGCCAAGCUGACUCUAAUGCAGACUGCUCGUAUGCCCUGGAAAAUGGAUUUUUUGAUGAAGAGGAGGAAUACUUCUAGAAGCAGACAGAUUGACCUCCAGGCUGACUGAACUAAGGUUCUUUUGUCCUUCUUUCCCUGUAACACACCUCAGCAAGAACAACUGGAAUCUGGAUCCCUCUUCCCGAGGAGGAAUACCCAUCUACCCCAAGUUUUGUUAAAUUCACUUAUUUUAACAGGCUGUCAGUACAAGUUACUCAUGCAAAUACCACUUGAGGAAAGUGCUGUACUCUUAACUUUUGAAGAGUCCUCAGACAUGCUUGACAAGAGUUUUCAAUUUAAUUUACAAGGGAAAGCCAUAGACAUUACCGCUUGGAAGAUAUCCUUUGCCAUGUCAUGCUAUCACCUAGACUAUUACAAAAAUGCCUACAAUAAAUAAUAUUCUUCCUUCAUGUUCAUCCAUUGUAAACUUGGGAAUAGGAUGUUUAUAUGUCUGCUUAAUGAUACACUCACACGCAUCUAUACUGCAUCUUUCCUUACAUAUUUUUCUACAGAUUCUAUCCCCUUAGCUUUAUAUUCAUCCUCAUUUUGUAGAAGUCUGCCAGACUCCUGUUCUUUUAAUGCUUCCUAGCUUUUACUGUAAUUCUCCAGUUUUGCAUACAAUAAUUUCUAAAUGCUUGUUACAUGGCCUAUGGACCCAGCUGAAGUUUCCAGCUCCCACUGCACAAUUACUAAACCAUUGCUCAACCCAAGUCUCAGUAAAAUCACUCGUUCUUCUGUGCAUUUCAUCCAACAGAGUUCUGGAAUUUGCUCCAUAGGCCACGAUAUCCUGUUUGAGUCCAAGCAAAACUCUAAGAGUUUACAUGGGCUCAUUUGCAGCAUGUUGUAUUUUUAACUGAAGUAAAUCCUUUCCCAUAAGUUAAUGAAGCAACUGAAGAUAUAUAGAAAGGGCAGGCAAUUUGUCAUACAUCUUCCAGCACAGAUGACUGUUUCAUUACAAAAAGUUUAUGGAAAAGAGAUGGGCUCAUAAGACAAAAAAAGAAUAAAAGUGAGAGAGAGAUGACUGUUUUAAACAGGCAGGACCUUAAAAUAGCCUUGGUUCUCUCUGAAGCACCAUAUGGAACACUUUUCCAAAAGCAUAAAAGUUCACACACACCUGCCCCCACACAGAGAGGGUGUCCUUAAGCUCCCCCUAGAGUUAUGAAAUAUUAGUGUAUUUGUCAUGUCUGGUAAAUGAGUAGCUCAAACACUAAACAAUCCUGAAUGUCCUGCAUUACUAAUGAUGCCUCUGGAGACUGAGAACCUGUACCACACCUGCUUUUGUUCCAUAGCUCUGUGGUCCUUAAUUGUCUUCUCCCACCUCAAAGUUGUGUAAGGACAGCGGUGGCUCCUGACAGCAUGGCUGAUAUGGUAUCGGCCUAUGUGACACAACAGACAAAUAUUUCUUCUUUCAGAAUGUGUUCAUGUCCCUUCUAGGUCUUCUGAAUAAAACUCAAAAAAUGUCCUGAAAUCAAUUCUUUUAAGUUCAAAAUAAACUUUAAUGUAAGAAAACUGUCUCAAAGUAAAAUUUAUAUACAUUGUAUUUACAAUUUUGCUGCUGACAAGGUAACAUUUACAUGUAGUAACUUGCAUUACUCACACUUAUAUAGGCUCCACUCAGCGUUAGACUGAAACCAGUGCCAGA